rnacentral:rRNA from 1 species
UACGUAGGGGGCAAGCGUUGUCCGGAAUCAUUGGGCGUAAAGCGCGUGUAGGCGGCCUCAUAAGUCCGUUGUGAAAGUCAAAGGCUCAACCUUUGAAAGCCGAUGGAUACUGUGAGGCUAGAGUCCGGAAGAGGCGAGUGGAAUUCCUGGUGUAGCGGUGGAAUGCGCAGAUAUCAGGAGGAACACCAAUUGCGAAGGCAGCUCGCUGGGACGUUACUGACGCUGAGACGCGAAAGCGUGGGGAGCAAACAGG